rnacentral:rRNA from 1 species
GUGCCUAACACAUGCAAGUCGAACGGAUCGUAGCAAUACGGUUAGUGGCAGACGGGUGAGUAACGCGUAGAUAACGUGCCCCUCCGCUGGGGAUAGCCACUGGAAACGGUGGGUAAAACCGAAUACUCUUCCCUGGGACAUCCCCGGGGAAGGAAAACUUUCGAGUGCGGAGGGAGCGGUUUGCGUCCUAUUAGCUAGUUGGUAGGGUAAAGGCCUACCAAGGCGACGAUGGGUAGCCGGUCUGAGAGGAUGAUCGGCCACACUGGCACUGAGACACGGGCCAG